rnacentral:rRNA from 1 species
AACGAACGCUGGCGGCAUGCCUAACACAUGCAAGUCGAACGAAACCAUCGGGUCUAGUGGCGUACGGGUGCGUAAGGCGUGGGAACCUGCCCAUAGGGUCGGAAUAACUCUCAGAAAGGGAUGCUAAUACCGGAUAAUGGCUAAGGACCGAAGAUUUAUCGCCUUUGGAUGGGCCCUAGUGGGAUUAGCUAGUUGGGAGGGUAAAAGCCUCCCAAGGCGACUAUCCAUAACUGGGUAGAGAGGAUGAUCAGCCACACAUGGACUGCGACACGGCCCCGAAUCCUACGGGAGGCAGCAGUGGUGGAUAUUGGACCAUGGGCUGAAGCCUGAUCCUGCUAUGCCCCUUGAGCGAUGAAGUCCUUAGGGUUGUAAAGCUCUUUUACCCGGGAUGAUAAUGACAGUACCGGAAGAAUAAGCUCCGGCUAACUCCGUG